GCCGGCAGGCUUCAUCAAUCGGUGUGUGUUCCUGUAUUCGUAUUCUUCUUUUAUACCCGGAGAGGGGAUCUGUAAUUGCAAUUACAGGUAUAAAAGAAGAAUACGAAUACAGGAACACACACCGAUUGAUGAAGCCUGCCGGC